rnacentral:rRNA from 1 species
UCUUUGGCUGUCCGAGUUGUAAUCUAGAGAAGUGCUUACCUGCACUGGACCAUGUAUAAGUCUCCUGGAAUGGAGCCUCACAGAGGGUGAGAAUCCCGUCUUUGACAUGGACCGCCAGUGUGUUGUGGUGCGCUCUCAAAGAGUCGAGUUGUUUGGGAAUGCAGCUCUAAAUGGGUGGUAAACUCCAUCUAAAGCUAAAUAUUGGCGAGAGACCGAUAGUGAACAAGUACCGUGAGGGAAAGAUGAAAAGGACUUUGGAAAGAGAGUUAAACAGUAUGUGAAAUUGUUGAAAGGGAAACGCUUGAAGUCAGUUAUGUUGGCUAGGGAUCAACCUAGCUAUUUUUGCUGGGUGAAUUUUCUAGCUUGACAGGCCAACAUCAGUCUUGACCGCUGGAAAAGAGCAGAGGGAAUGUGGCACCUUUGGGUGUGUUAUAGCCUUUUGUCAUAUGUGGCAGUUGGGACUGAGGGAUGCAGCGUGCCGCGAGGCUGG